rnacentral:rRNA from 1 species
GAUUCACAACAGAACCGCAUCAACCGGCGCACCAUGAACCGAUUCCGGCGUUUCAUCUCUGACCAUGGACUGCAUGAUGUCUACCUGCAUGGUAGGCGCUAUACGUGGUCUAACGAGCAAGACAGUCCGACCCUCGUUCGCAACGAUCGUGUGCUAUGCACCCCUUCCUGGGAGCUUGACCGCGCGCACUGCCUUCUGCGCUGCCUCGCCUCCGUGGCUUCGGACCACUCCCCCCUUCUCCUCGACUGCGCUAUCAGGACUGUUGGUGGCAGGCGUUUCCACUUCCAGAGAUACUGGCCCUCCCUCGAUGGUUUCCACCAAACUGUGCAGACUGCCUGGCACUCGACAACUUCGGAACCAGAUCCCUUCAGGCGCGUUUUAGCUAAACUUUGGGCCACUGCGCGUAGCCUCCAAAGGUGGAAUUCCCGCUUCGCCUCUAAUCUCGCUGCCCAGCUGGGAGUGGCCCGUGAGCUCAUCGCUCGGUUCGACGAGGCCCAGGACACCCGACGCAUGUCCCGCGUCGAGAUUUGGCUCUAG